GGGCGGUUAGCUCAGUUGGCUAGAGCGCGGCGUUGACAUCGCCGAGGUCAGAGGUUCAAACCCUCUACCGCCCACCU
rnacentral:tRNA from 1 species